rnacentral:rRNA from 1 species
GGCGGAUUGGAAAGUUGGGGGUNAAAUCCNKGGGCUCAACCUCGGNACUGCCKNNNAAACUCCCAGUCUUGAGUUCGAGAGAGGUGAGUGGAACUCCGAGUGUAGAGGUGAAAUUCGUAGAUAUUCGGAAGAACACCAGUGGCGAAGGCGGCKCACUGGCUCGAUACUGACGCUGAGGUGCGNAAGUGUGGGGAGCAAACAGGAUUAGAUACCCUGGUAGUCCACACCGURAACGAUGAAUGCCAGUNGUCGGCAAGCAUGCUUGUCGGUGACNCACCUAACGGAUUAAGCAUUCCGCCUKGGGAGUACGGUNGCAAGAU